UACGGAGGGGGCUAGCGUUGUUCGGAAUUACUGGGCGUAAAGCGCACGUAGGCGGCUUUGUAAGUUAGAGGUGAAAGCCCGGGGCUCAACCCCGGAACUGCCUUUAAGACUGCAUCGCUUGAAUCCAGGAGAGGUGAGUGGAAUUCCGAGUGUAGAGGUGAAAUGCGUGGAUAUCGGGAGGAACACCAGUGGCGAAGGCGGCCAUCUGGGACAACACUGACGCUUAAGCACGAAAGCGUGGGGAGCAAACAGG
rnacentral:rRNA from 1 species